rnacentral:rRNA from 1 species
ACCUGGUUGAUCCUGCCAGUAGUGAUAUGCUUGUCUCAAAGAUUAAGCCAUGCAAGUGUAAGUAUAAAUCGCUAUACGGUGAAACUGCGAAUGGCUCAUUAAAUCAGUUAUAGUUUAUUUGAUGAUUUGGGUGCAAUAUCCACUACAUGGAUAUCUGAAGUAACCGUGGAGCUAAUACAUGCAAAGAUACACUAAACUUUUAGGAAUAGUGUGCACUUAUUAGAUACCAAACCAAUAUCUCUUCAGAGAAUUGUAGGUGAUUCAUAAUAACUGAACAGAUCGCAUGGCCUUGUGCUGGCGACGUUUCAUUCAAAUUUCUGCCCUAUCAAUUAGUUGAUAGUAUAGAGCACUAUCAAGAUGAUAACGGGUAACGGGGAAUUGGGGUUCGAUUCCGGAGAAGGAGCAUGAGAAACGGCUACUACUUCUAAGGAAAGCAGCAGGCGCGCAAAUUAUUCAAUGAUAACAAGUGAUCGAAAUAGUGACAAAAAAUAACAAUGCAGUACCAUUGGUAUUGUAAUUGGAAUGAGUACAAUUUAAAACCUUUAACGAGUAACAAUUGGAGGGCAAGUCUGGUGCCAGCAGCCGCGGUAAUUCCAGCUCCAAUAGCGUAUAUUAAUAUUGUUGCAGUUAAAACGCUCGUAGUUGAAUUUUGGACUUUGUAAAAGUUGGUUCAAUGUUUAUUGAACUGCUUCAACGGGGUUCUUCCUACUAGUAAUUCGAUUCUGCAUUUAAUUAUGUGGAAUAGCAGGUAGCAAUACUUGUCGGUUUGUUAGUUUUGCUCCACAAGAUAAUUAAAGAGUGUAAAAACUUGGAGAAAAUCUUAGUGGAUCAAGUAAAAUUAGUAAAUUGGAGUUCUAGUUCAUUUACUUUGAGAAAAUUAGAGUGUUUAAAGCAGUCUCUUUGGGCUCUGAAUACAUUAGCAUGGGAUAAUAGAAUAGGAUUUUAAUCUUAUCUUUGUUGGUUUGAAAGGUUGAAAUAAUGAUUAAUAGGGAUAGUUGGGGGUAUUUAUAUUGGAUGGUUAGCGGUGAAAUGCUCGGAUUCAUUCAAGAUAAACUAAAGCGAAAGCAUUUACCAAGGAUGUUUUCAUUAAUCAAGAACGAAAGUUAAGGGAUCGAAGACGAUCAGAUACCGUCGUAGUCUUAACUAUAAACUAUGCCGACCAGGGAUGUGGGUAGUUAUGAGUGCAGAAAUGUACUCGAUUUCUUCCUAUGGAUCUUGUGAGAAAUCAUAAGUUUUUGGGUUCUGGGGGGAGUAUGGUCGCAAGGCUGAAACUUAAA